rnacentral:rRNA from 1 species
UACGUAGGGUGCGAGCGUUAAUCGGAAUUACUGGGCGUAAAGAGUGCGUAGGCGGUUCUUGAAGUCCGCUGUGAAAGCCCCGGGCUUAACCUGGGAAUGGCAGUGGAAACUGGAGGACUUGAAUUGAGCAGAGGGGGGUGGAAUGCCGCGUGUAGCAGUGAAAUGCGUAGAUAUGCGGAGGAACACCGAUGGCGAAGGCAAUCCCCUGGGCCUGCACUGACGCUCAUGCACGAAAGCGUGGGGAGCAAACAGG